UCGGGAGGGCGCUUACCACUUUGUGAUUCAUGACUGGGGUGAAGUCGUAACAAGGUAACCGUAGGGGAACCUGCGGUUGGAUCACCUCCUUA
rnacentral:rRNA from 3 species